CUCUCUCUCUCUCUCUCUCUCUCACCCUCUACACAACCUUCUCGAUCUAAGCCUCAUCCCUACCGCAUGUUCGACCUUCCUUAACCCAUCCAUCCCCCACAACCACAGACCAUCUAACGGAUAGUAGUGCAAGGAGCGGAGUGAUGAAACACAAAAAAUCAACCCAUAGCCUAUGCUGAGGACUCGCCGCAGGAGCAGCCGAACCUGGCUCUGAACCUGCACAUGAAUUUACAGACUCGACAGUCACCGCAGCCGCCUCAAAUUCCAAUUUGCGAGUCCAUUUCUUGCGAGACUGGUCAAUUCGUUCAAUUGAGCCUAGUGUUGUUGAAUAUCAAAGAAUUACUCAUUCAUACCUUGAGUCUUGCUUCUGAUUGGCUUCAAGGAUCAAUUUUUCAUGUUUGAACAAACUCUUCUUGCUCUUGCUUUUGUUCCUAGCCCAGCAAAAUCAGCAACAUGAGUAUGUCACUCAUUGGGCUAUUUAAUGAACCCACAGUUGAGGAGAUGUGGGGAUUUGGUGUAGGUACUUUUGGGGAGGAAAUGAGCUGAGUGAUGAAAUUGAAAGGGUAGUGGGUGUUUGCAGGGCGAGGCUGAAGUGCUGGGAGGAUGAGGGAGAUUGGAUCUGGGCUAGUUUUUUUCUUCUUUCAAUUUUAUGUUAAUUUUUAAAAAAGUAUUUAAUAAAUAUAAAUUAUAUUUUAUUAUUUGUUUGUCCAACCUGGAGGUGGAUAAAGAACCCAUGUAUAUAAAAUUACUAAUUUAACCCUGCCACAUCAUCAAUGUUAACGGAAUUAUGGAUGGAGAUGACUGUAGGGACAAAGUGGAACACCAAACCUUGGUUAAGGGGAUAACAUGGGCCACUUUAACUUUUAAGAGGCAAUAUGGGAUUUGACCGUAGUUUCGGAGGGCGCUACAGUAAAUAAGCCAUUAAAAAAUGGCUGGAGAGGAU
rnacentral:lncRNA from 1 species